UGCGCCUCCCUCCGAAAGUCAGGCCCCACCCCUCCAGACUGCGUGGCGUCGCGGCCGAGAGCGAAGGAAACCAAUCCGCACAGUGAGUGGCUGCGGCCGCAAAUUGCUUCGGGGAGCGCCUGGUACCUCACGGUUCAGUGCAACUCGUAGCACCGUGUCGUGCUUUUUUUCUUUUGUAACAUAAACACGUUUGAAAUGCCGCAUAUCUACUGUCUUCUCCGAGCAGCGCCACCCACAGACAAGGAAGCAGAUGCUGAGAAGUGCAGCCAUGUUAGUGUAAAGAAAGAAAGAACUACUCACGCGCCGUCUUCAUAUUAUAUUUCCUGAGAAUUUUCAGGUAAGGAAGACAGAAGUUACAAGAUUCUCAGAAAGCUGGUGCCUACCUAGCCUGGCAGUGCUGGAUAUGAGAUGUGUACCAUCCAUGGACAGAACACCAUUUCAUUGUAGGGCAAACUCACGUACACAGCCACACUAACGUCACUGGAACAAUUUUGGCAUGCCUAAAAUCUAGUCAUCAUGCUAUCCUUUUCUGUUUGAUUAUGGAUGAAAAGAGCACCAAAAGUAAGAAUUUGGGUAGGUUGAGGGCAAUCAUGAGGAAAAGCUUUUGUAGAACACUAAAAACACAUGAUCAAAAGAGUGUUCAGUUUCCUGAAAUGCUUUCAUAAUAAUUGCAUUUUAUCUCAUCGUAUUGAUUCUGUCAGCAUUUGUUAGAAGACAUUUGUUUUGGUACCUUUUCCAAAACAUUAUUCAAAGUUUGGCAUCUUGGUUGAAUGAUAUCCACCUUUGUAUGAUGUUAAACUGUAUCUGGCCCAGCAAGCAGUCCUCCAACUUGCAGGGAAAUCAUGGGGUUUGGUGGCAGGAUUGGCAUUCUAGCCACAGUAAAAAAAACUUCAUGCAGCUCUGAGAUGACAGACUGGACUCUUUUGCUCUCCGUGGGUGUAGCUCUGCUAAAGCCACCCAUAGGAAAGCUGCUUCCAUUAUGAAGGGGAUGGGGCUCCCAAGGAAGAGUCAAAACCGUCAGAGAACCAAUGGGAUUGGGUCUGUUGGGGAUCAGAACUGAUGUGGUGCUGUGUUGUCACCUGCUGUACAGCAACACUCGGGUACCAUGUAUUCCGAGCUUCGUCAUGUGGUGUGUGUGGCAACGCACUGUACCAGUGCAUGUUCUCCAACCUGACCUGAUAUUUAUAUGUGAAAACUUGUGGGUUGUGCUUUUUGUACCAUAACAAAGGUAUUUGUCGUUAAUCAACAACCUUUAUUCAAACCCGGGACUGUGAUUCUGUGUUCGUGUCGGGGUUUGGGCUUGCUGAAACCUGGGGGUUUGUCACAAUUGUUAAUUGUUGAUUAUUUUUACUGCAUGCUACAGUAAUGACAUUGUCAUUUUUGAAUAAUAAAUGCUAAGCUAUAUAACAAAA